rnacentral:rRNA from 1 species
AGUGAACGCUGGCGGUAGGCCUAACACAUGCAAGUCGAACGGCAGCACAGUAAGAGCUUGCUCUUACGGGUGGCGAGUGGCGGACGGGUGAGGAAUACAUCGGAAUCUACUUUUUCGUGGGGGAUAACGUAGGGAAACUUACGCUAAUACCGCAUACGACCUACGGGUGAAAGCAGUGGAUCUUCGGACCUUGCGCGAUUGAAUGAGCCGAUGUCGGAUUAGCUAGUUGGCGGGGUAAAGGCCAAGCAAGGCGACGAUCCGUAGCUGGUCUGAGAGGAUGAUCGCCCACACUGGAACUGAGACACGGUCCAGACGCCUACGGGAGGCAGCAGUGGGGAAUAGUGGACAAUGGGCGCAAGCCUGACCCAGCCAGCCCGCGUGGGUGAAGAAGGCCUUCGGGUUGUAAAGCCCUUUUGUUGGGAAAGAAAAGCAGCAGGUUAAUACCCCGCUGUUCUGACGGUACCCAAAGAAUAAGCACCGGCUAACUUCGUG